ACAGGUGAAGAGAAAAGCGAAAAGUUUUAACAAAGGCCCGGCGCGUCUUCAGGCUACAGUAGAGCAGUAGCAAGUGGGUGAUGGAUGAUAACAUUCGGAUUUGGGAAGUAGCUUUUGCAACAGUGGCGGACCAUGAGAAUGGACACUUACGAUUUGGUAAAGGGCACACAAAUAUUUAUAUUGUAGCUACAGUAAGAUUCCUUUUGAGAAGUGAUUGCUUUUUGCCAUUUGUCUUCCAGACUAUAAAUACCCAUUCGGUUAGCAUAAUUAGAUCGUCAAAAAAGAAAGAAAAAAAAAAUAUCAGCAAACAAGACAGAAAAAGGUUAUAACUAUAUAGAGUACGUAGUUGAAAGCUCAUCAGUAAUGGAUCUGACGGCUUUUCGGUUAGCAUUCUCAGGCGCGUUAAUUGGCUUGGUGCAGCUUCUGCCACAGGGCUCUCUGCAUCCGAUAACCAUGACUAUCGCACUCUACUCUUUUAUUUUAUCCGGGUUUCUGGUACUACUUAACCUCAGAUGCCCCAAUUUUUAUAAGCUUCUUGUUGAAUUUGGUUCGGAGCUCUUCAGUUGGAUUUCACUGGCGAGUAUCACCUCGCUUUUGUUGCCAGCUAAGAUCAUGUGUCCCGUCUUCCUUGCUGUGCCGGCCUGGAAAAUACUCUGUUGGAUCUUCCGGAAAUUGGAGGGGCGUUUUGGUGAUACUGAGUUUUGGAGGUAUGUAGUGCUUUUUAAGUUUGAUCUGAGGAGGAUGAUAACCAAGGUAUUUCAUAAGAGGGAAGUUGGAUCCAUACUUUCUCUCUGUCUUUGAAUCCUCUACCUCAACUGUGGAAGGCUGGAAGCUGAGCUAGUGACUUGCAUCUCUCUUGCCUAAGGACUAUAUUUUUCCUGUUGUCCCGUGUUCAUGACUUUUUUCUUUCUUAGUACUACUAUUUUCUUUUGUAUAAGAGGUUUAAAACAGAGUUACAUUCCCUGACAAAGCGGUAUUUGCGGGAAUUUCAAGUGUGUAAUAGAUUCUGGUGUUGUCAUCUGAGCAUUUGUUGUUGUCAGUCCGGCAGUGAGGUUAUAUAUUAUAGUAUACUAUAUAAAAAAAUCUCAUGAGUUUUUCAUGA